rnacentral:rRNA from 1 species
UACGUAGGGGGCAAGCGUUAUCCGGAUUUACUGGGUGUAAAGGGAGCGUAGACGGCAGAGCAAGUCUGAAGUGAAAGCCCGCGGCCCAACUGCGGGACUGCUUUGGAAACUGCCCGGCUAGAGUGCUGGAGAGGUAAGCGGAAUUCCUAGUGUAGCGGUGAAAUGCGUAGAUAUUAGGAGGAACACCAGUGGCGAAGGCGGCUUACUGGGCAGUAACUGACGUUGAGGCUCGAAAGCGUGGGGAGCAAACAGG